UCGGGUAUGGUGUAACGGCUAACAUUGCCGCCUCUCAUGGUAGAACAGGCGUGUUGCGCGGCAGCUCGGGGUUCGAUUCCCCGUACCCGAA